ACUGAUAAAACAAACAUGUUAAGAAGCAAUAGGCGACAAACGAAAUAUCAAAACAAGAACUAGACCUGAUCAAAUUUAUGUAUUCAUGGAUAUUACAAACACAUAUGCAUAUGCAUAUAUAUAUAUAUAGGGUCGGGAUCCGGUGAGACCAUCCCCUUAGGUGAGACCAUCUCUUAUAUGAGACCAAAUCUGGGCCAUUGAACUAAAUAGAUCUGACGGAUGAAAAAGCGCAUAGUAAUGACAAAAUCAGUAAAUACAUGUUUCCGCAUUUAAUGCCAUUUAAACCCACUUCAGUUCCCUUUCUAAUCACCACUAUUCAAACCCACUUCCCCAUUUCUGAAAAAAAUUAGCGAAAACUGUCAGAGAGAAAAAUCGUUCGAUUUUCAUUAUAAAACCCUUUCCAAAAAUUUCUACAACUACAAUCUACAAACAUCAUCAUCAAUGGAUCCUAUCCAAAUUACCAACAUUCGACGAAAAAAGAACCUUGAUAAAUUCUUGUAACUGUUGAAAUUGUAUAUUUGCAUGCACAGUUUUUACGAAUUUCAAUGAGAUUCAAGGAUCGUGAGCACAAAUCCGUUCAAUUUAUGUCAGAUUUCAGCAACAACAAGAAUCAACAAGCUUCAUUGAAUAAUAAACAAAUUUUUUAGUUCGAUUUAAGUAAUUCGAUUUUUUUGGUUGAGUACAUUUUUUGGUUGUUGCCUUGGAGUACUUCCUGACCUUUGAGCAUUGGUUAUAGCAUAACUUGCAUUUGGGAGAGCUUGUAUUGUAUCAAAAGCAACUUGUUGGAGUUGCUAAAUUGGUAGAAUACAAAAGACCUUGAACUUGUAUUGUAUCAGAAGUGCUUGUUGGAGUUGCUAAAUUGGUAGAAUUCGAAAGACCCUGAACUUGUAUUGUAUCAGAAGCACUUGUUGGAGUUGCUUCCAUAUUGGUAGAACGAUGAUCACCACGUUCUUUGUUUUUCUGAGGGAGAAAAAUUUUGCUUGACAAUGGCAUUGAGAAGAUCAUCAGAAAGGCCAAAGAAAGUCAUCAGAAUUGCAAGGCUGCUGCAACAGAUGCUCUACGAGAUUUGGGGCUUGAUAAUUACAACUUGUAAUUCUGACUGAUGUUGUUGUACAAGAAUGUCUUCCUUUGGAUUAUAAAGUGAAGUGUCAAGCCUCCAUAAGAAGUAAUUUUCUUCGCUUGACUUAAAUCAAAUUUGUUGUUAUUGUCAAAAUGUCUGUGUGAUAUGGUAUGAAUGUUCAUGUUAUAUUCCUGAAGUGGUCUCAAAUUGUGAGUUUUACUAGAUUCAAUACCUAGCAUUAGCAUGCUUAUGAACAGAGAAUCAGCUGUCCUGUAUUCAGUUUAUACUCCAGUUUUUCUUUUCGGUUCCUUUUGUGCUUCUGUGACUGGAUCUUAUAUCUUAAAACUUAGAGCCAUAUAUUGGAAUUCACCUAUUUAAGUUAAUUACAAUGUAUAUA